rnacentral:rRNA from 1 species
CCUACGGGUGGCUGCAGUGGGGAAUAUUGGACAAUGGGGGCAACCCUGAUCCAGCCAUGCCGCGUGUGUGAAGAAGGCCCUCGGGUUGUAAAGCACUUUCAGUGAGGAAGAACGCCUGGUGGUUAAUACCCAUCAGGAAAGACAUCACUCACAGAAGAAGCACCGGCUAACUCCGUGCCAGCAGCCGCGGUAAUACGGAGGGUGCGAGCGUUAAUCGGAAUUACUGGGCGUAAAGCGCGCGUAGGUGGCAUGAUAAGCCGGUUGUGAAAGCCCCGGGCUCAACCUGGGAACGGCAUCCGGAACUGUCAAGCUAGAGUGCAGGAGAGGAAGGUAGAAUUCCCGGUGUAGCGGUGAAAUGCGUAGAGAUCGGGAGGAAUACCAGUGGCGAAGGCGGCCUUCUGGACUGACACUGACACUGAGGUGCGAAAGCGUGGGUAGCAAACAGGAUUAGAUACCCCGGUAGUC